AAAUUAUAUAUGAUUUUUGUUAAGAUUGUUUCUUUUGUCAUAUAUUUUAAAUUAUAUCAUUGUAUUUUAAUUGUUAGUUAUAGGAUUUCACCCGUUGUAUAACGUGUCGUAUUACUAUAAACUCAAACCCGUCUUACCAUCUAAUUCCGUUCAAUGAAAUUAAACAUAUUUAAUGGAUUUCAUCCUAGGUAUAUUGUCUCAUAUUACUAUCGACCCAAACCCGUCCUACCAACUAACCCCGUUCAAUAAAAUGAAAUAU
rnacentral:sRNA from 1 species